rnacentral:rRNA from 1 species
AAUAGAUACCCAGGUAGUCCACGCCGUAAACGAUGGAUGCUAGCUGUUAGGAGUAUCGACCCUUCUAGUAGCGAAGCUAACGCGUUAAGCAUCCCGCCUGGGGAGUACGGUCGCAAGAUUAAAACUCAAAGGAAUUGACGGGGACCCGCACAAGCGGUGGAGCGUGUUCUUUAAUUCGAUGAUAAGCGAAGAACCUUACCAGGGCUUGACAUCCUUGGAAUUUCUGCGAAAGCAGAGAGUGCCUUUUGGAACCAAGUGACAGGUGUUGCAUGGCCGUCGUCAGCUCGUGUCGUGAGAUGUUUGGUUAAGUCCAUCAACGAGCGCAAUCCUUAUGAUUAGUUGAAUUUUUCUAAUUAGACUGCCUCGGUAACGGGGAGGAAGGAGGGGAUGAUGUCAGGUCAUUAUUACCCGUUACGUCCUGGGCUAGAAACGCGCUACAAUGGCUGGUACAAAGGGCUGCCAACCCGCGAGGGGGAGCAAAUCCCAUCAAAGCCAGUCCCAGUUCGGAUUGCAGGCCGUAAGUAACGUCCGUCGUCGACUAGUAGUACGGUACGUACG